ACACACACAAUUCGUUAUUUUAUUGAAUCUUUUAUAGACUGAGAUAAUCAUCAAUGAUAAAGGUUUUUCCACAUUUUGUAAUAUUUGUAGUUAGAUGCAUGUUAACGUAAUGUGUCUGUGCAUACCAGUCUGUCAGGUUUUGUUGCCCACUCAAGGGACAGCAGAGGAGACUUGGACAUGAUGGUGGCUUUGGUCUGCAUGAUGGGAUUGAAUGACCACACCUGAAGUGUACAGUGCACGUGAAAGAUCAUCGCUUGAACAACAUGAAGAUCUUCCUUAUUGGUCUUUGUGUUCAUCAGCCAGGGGUCUGAAGUGUUACUGCGGCGGAAGGCAAAGUUGUCAAGGAAAUGAGAAGACCUGCUCCAUUUAUAAUCAUUUAUGUGCCAGCGCCACCUUUUGAUAGCAUCAGUGAGUAGUUCCUUCCCCUUACGAACAACUUUUCGUCUUCCAGAUAUUACAAGGACUUUAUAAUUAGAACUUUACUAAUACAUCUCUUUUAUUCUCUCCAUAGUGUAUUUUUCUCUCCAAAAAUAUAUUUUUCUUUGGUUUAAAAUGUAAUGUUUCUUUUUUUU